GAGGGGUCCUAGCGUUGCUCGGAAUUAUGGGGCGUAAAGCGGGUGUAGGUGGCUUGGUAAGUCGGGUGUGAAAGCCCAGGGCUUAACCCUGGAAGUGCAUUCGAUACUACUGAGCUUGAGUGCGAGAGAGGUUAAUAGAAUACCUGGUGUAGUGGUGAAAUACGUAGAUAUCAGGUGGAACACCGGAGGCGAAGGCGGUUAACUGGCUCGACACUGACACUGAGACCCGAAAGUGCGGGGAUCAAACAGG
rnacentral:rRNA from 1 species